GAUUAUCAUCUGACACAGACCGACCUAUUUUGUUUGACCAGGCUUACAAACACUGUACACAUGAGAGAGAUUUAUCAAUGGAGAACAUACAUGACACAACUGGAUCCAGGAGAAAACGGCGCAUGAAUAUCAUCUAAUUCUGUGAGAUACCGAUCUGCGAAUGAAGAAAAUUCCAAGUUUGGGAAACAACAUAAACUUCUCUAAAAAACUGGGAAUUGAGGAAAACCAAAUAUGUCUGGAGGUAAGUUAGAAUUUGACCCAAGGUUUUGAUUGUGGUCUUUUUACCUUUUUUUCGCUUCUGAUAUUGUUGAUUAGGUUGGAUUUUUUCCUUUUCUUUUUGGGCAGCAACCAGCUGAAAUAGCAGAAUGUUAAACAUGGCGAAACAGCACAAUCAUUCCUUUUUUUCCUAUUACAGGAACUAUUUGUGCACCUGAAAAUCAACUCAACAAAAACGGAAUCUGACCCCCCGUGCUCCACAUAUGAAGGUUUCCUUGAAGAAGAAAUGAGGACGAUGGUAGAAUGACAAAAGACAUCCUCAUUCUCUAAUUGUUCUCAUU
rnacentral:lncRNA from 1 species